AAGUGCCAGAUCACUGGAUCCGACCCGUUGAAGUAAAUGGAUCCGGAUAGAUUUAACGAAUCUGGAUCUGAGUGGGUUUGUUUGGAUUUGAUUGGUUAAUCUUCGGCGAAGGAAUCAAUCAAGAACCGAGUUUCGAGCAUGGGAAAGAAAAAGGUGCUUGCUUGCUUUGCCCUCUCCUCUGUCUCUUGGGGCUUUUUCUCGUUCCAAGUGAAGCAUCUUGGCUCGUGUGCUUUGCGACAACCAAUCACGUGCCUCUUUUAGAAGGAGAG